UGGGGAAUAUUGCACAAUGGGCGAAAGCCUGAUGCAGCAACGCCGCGUGAGUGAUGAAGGUCUUCGGAUUGUAAAGCUCUGUCUUUUGGGACGAUAAUGACGGUACCAAAGGAGGAAGCCACGGCUAACUACGUGCCAGCAGCCGCGGUAAUACGUAGGUGGCGAGCGUUGUCCGGAUUUACUGGGCGUAAAGGGUGCGUAGGCGGAUGUUUAAGUGAGAUGUGAAAUACCCGGGCUUAACUUGGGUGCUGCAUUUCAAACUGGAUAUCUAGAGUGCAGGAGAGGAGAAUGGAAUUCCUAGUGUAGCGGUGAAAUGCGUAGAGAUUAGGAAGAACACCAGUGGCGAAGGCGAUUCUCUGGACUGUAACUGACGCUGAGGCACGAAAGCGUGGGUAGCAAACAGGAUUAGAUACCCUGGUAGUCCACGCCGUAAAACGAUGAGUACUAGGUGUAGGAGGUAUCGACCCCUUCUGUGCCGCAGUAAAACA
rnacentral:rRNA from 1 species